rnacentral:rRNA from 1 species
UGCUCGAGUGGCGAACGGGUGAGUAACACGUGAGUAACCUGCCCUUGACUUUGGGAUAACUUCAGGAAACUGGGGCUAAUACCGGAUAGGAGCUCCUGCUGCAUGGUUGGGGUUGGAAAGUUUCGGCGGUUGGGGAUGGACUCGCGGCUUAUCAGCUUGUUGGUGGGGUAGUGGCUUACCAAGGCUUUGACGGGUAGCCGGCCUGAGAGGGUGACCGGCCACAUUGGGACUGAGAUACGGCCCAG